UACGGGGGGGGCAAGCGUUGUUCGGAAUUACUGGGCGUAAAGGGCUCGUAGGCGGCCAACUAAGUCAGACGUGAAAUCCCUCGGCUUAACCGGGGAACUGCGUCUGAUACUGGAUGGCUUGAGUUUGGGAGAGGGAUGCGGAAUUCCAGGUGUAGCGGUGAAAUGCGUAGAUAUGUGGAGGAACACCUGUGGCGAAGGCGCCUUGCUGGCCAAUUUCUGACGCUGAGGCGCGAAAGCGUGGGGAGCAAACAGG
rnacentral:rRNA from 1 species